GUUUCCACUGACAGAGGCCUGAGUGUGUCACAUGGACAUGAUAUAAUGAAGAGACAGGAACACAGAACCGGAGUGCAGUGAGCUCUUUCUUGAUGGAGAAGGAGGCGAAACGGACGCUCUCAUCUGCCGACAAGCCACCGUCCUGGGGGAGAGGGACACGAAAGCCGAUCUAGGCCGAUCCAAGCCGAUCCCGGCCGGGGCGGGCCGAGUCGGACUCACUGCGCCUCAUCGGACAGGACCGCUCUAUUCGCAGCUGCACCUGCCAGCUUUGACACGCACUUGAAAAGAGGAGGAAAAUGUCGCCCGGUCCCAGAGCUGAAGCGGAACGCCGUUCACCGUGAGUGAAGUUUUUUUCUUUCAAUGCAUCGGCGGAGCGGGGAUCGGCGUUGCGUUUCUGCCGCAGGUGCGUUCGCGGGGCUGUGUUGUGCCCGCAGUAUUCUAGCGAGGACCCGCACCUCCCAGCUGUUGGAAAAGUGCGUUUCUUGCAGGAAGCGCAGUGUUUUUUCUGUGCUGGUGGGGAGUCAUGUGUCAUGUGCGCGUACUCACACUGCUUUUCGACAGUGUCCGCAUUCCAGGUGCUGUUGCGCACAUCGAAAUUGAAUUUGAAGUAAACAAGUGGGAAUGAGGCCUCGCUCUGAAGCGUGAAAAGCAGUGUGUUGAUGUUCACCACGCAGCUCCUGGUUUGAGUGGAAACGUCCUGUCCUCAGCCUGGAGGCAGUGAAGGCUGGUGCUGGUAUCGUGUCAUCGUUUACAGGAAGGUGAAACUCCUUCAGCUGCGCCUUUGAAGAACAACCUCUGCUAAGCCAGGAAGCUGAGGAAGAGGAAGCACGAAGGUCUUCUGUCACAGAAGAUGAGGGGGGGGGGGGGUCCUUCCUGAAGUCCAAUAUCCUCUCCACUGUCCCAACAGCGUCCAUCUCACUCCUGUCGGUCGGCCCAUCUUCAUCAGAGAUGAAUGAUGAAAGUGGUGUCAUCUGCAAACUCGUAGGGAGGAGAAAAGACUCAACCCUGUGCUGAAGGAGUCCCAUGGUUUGGUCAGUUUGGAAAUCAUGAUAAAUUCAUUCUCACAACACAACCUGUCAAGCUUGCCAGCUACUCUCACUUGCUGUUUGUCUGAGGAACUUUCCACUUUCCAUCUUUUCUGUUUGACAGGUUUAUUCAGGUGAUCAAUUAACACUAAAAAUCACACUGAAGCCUUUGUGUUUUAGAGCAAAUAGCUCUCUUAAAUGUAAACUUUGACAAUGAUUUCUCUGUUGAGAAAGGAUUUUAUUUUUUAUACUGUAUUUCGUUGUGUAGAUGAAUUAAUCCAUUCAAAUAAUUAUUUUGUAGUAAAUUACUUAGAGAGAAAAUAUAUAGAAAUAGAAAACUAAAAGCAUGUUAGUUGACUGUAUAAAAUUUCCCCUAUGAUCAUUUACAGGGUGAUGACCAGACGUGUCCUGAACUGUCGCUACAGUUUGUAUCACAUAUAUAUAACGGUUGCUAGGGCCGCGCUCGGCAGUCGUAACAUUAUGACACAACAAGCUAAAAGCCACAUCAUAACCAACCUAACAGUCUGCGUCAAAGCUGGGGGGUCAUUCAUUGCUCUACGAGUGGUGAAGGUCUGGUUUGUUUGAUCGUUUGUGCCAAAAGGAAGUGAGAACGAACAAAAAAAAGAAAGAAGAGCUGACAGGAAACAUUCUGAGGUUCUCAUUGUGCAGCUCUUGCUUUAAAAAUAAAAAAAUUCUUUGAAGCUAACUGAAUGUACAAUCACAUAUAGUGUCUGACAGGGAACCAGCUUAAAUAUUGUGUAUUACAGUAAUGCAGAGAAGAAUCUUAUAUGAUUAAUGUACAUUUUGAUUUCAUGGCAACUGGACUAAAAAGGGAAAAUAUGAUGUGAUUACAAUGUUAUUACAAACUUCAUCAUAGUUGUAUUAACAGCAGCUGCUGAUGCUUGGGAACAUUUGCGGUCGGGGCUUACCAGAUAAACAUGUGUUUAUUUGUUCUGAGCUAAACCACAAUCUGCCCCACCUUAACCCUUAACCAGCGCGCUGCUUUUUGAAAACCUAAAAUCCCACAUACGGGACUUGACUAAGUCAAAGCUGCGUAUGCGUGUGACCUAUUAACCCUGGGCUUCGUGCAGAUGUUUAGCUACAGUACCAGUAUACACAAGGUAUCAGCUAAAGGAAGUUAAACUGCGUUUUGUAGGGCUCAGGCAGUUCAUUUGGCUCCACACCAGAUCAGCUAUAUGGCACUAUAGGUUUGGAUGUGCUGAACAUGCUAGUGCUAACCUGGUUUUUGGCUUUAUAAAGCUGUGACAUUUCAUUUACUGUACCUUUAGCCAAUGGCUGAAUAUUAAACAAACACAUUCUGGGAUAGUAAAUACUGUAAUGGGUAGUGAUUGAGAGCCUUUUCUGACAGCAUUGAGUCUCGCGGGUCACAGUGAAAAGCGUCUCGUGACAGUGGGUGGACGAUGCUGCGGUACUCAAUGGAAUCUGUUCUUACUACACUGGUUCUCAAGGCUACAAGGUCUGGAUUUAAAAACUACCACUGUACUUCAUUCAGCAGCUUUACUUAAUCAAUAUGUGUAUAAUAGUAAAGUCAAUUAAUAAAUGUGGAUGCAUUAUUAAAAGUUUCCACAAGGUGUGGUUGACUGUAUUUUUGUUAUUUAUAUUAGAAAAGUAUCAUGUACAGCAAUUAAAACAGAAACUUUUCAGUGCAGGUUUAAAAGUUGGACGUUUUCACCACAUGUGAAAGGAGAUAAAUAUUUUAUCCUUUUAAAUAGAUUUUUUUCAGUGUGUAGCCUCUAAUAGUUUCUUUACUGUCACUAAGUAGGAUCAGCUGAUGAAUUGAAGAAAUAAAAGAACUUCCGUCUGAAUUUGAAGAGAUUGCUUCAGAAACAUGUAUAAGGCACAUGUGGAACUGCUGUUUGCACUCAUGUAAUCAACUGCAAUCACAAGGCUGAGGCUGGAUGGUCUCAUCCAUCAGUCAGAACCGCUCUGUCGUCUCCAGUCAGCAGCUGGUGUAUGAACGCGCAGCUUUCUUUGAACUGUGCUCAUGGUCACCCUCAUUCUGGCCCUUGAUGCUGCGAUGUCAGAUCACACCAGCCUCCUACCAGAACAACCAGUUGGCUAAUAUUGAGUUGCUCGCUCAGGCUCUGCCCUCCUCUGCCCUUAUUGGUGCUCCAGCACCCUGUAGAUGAGGCGUCAACCAAUAAGGUCUGUCUCUGCGACUGCCUGCUGGCAUUUCUGCAGCGGGUUAUUUAGGAGGGAACUAUAGUGUUUGGGACUUUUCUCUGUCUGAUCCUGAUCUUUUGUUUUAAAUCACCAACAAAUUUCUUUAGACUAAGAGGAGUGUGAAGUGACGUCAAUCAGCCACAAUAGCUCAGGUAGUUCACUAUCUUAAGUUAUCUUGUCAUUUCUCCUAAAUGUGUGUGUGUGUGUGUGUGUGUGUGUGUGUGUGUGUGUGUGUGUGUGUGUGUGUGUGUGUGUGUGUGUGUGUGUGUGUGUGUGUGUGUGUGUGUGUGUGUGUGCGUGCGUGCGUGCGUGCGUGCGUGCGUGCGUGCGUGCGUGCGUGCGUGCGUGCGGUUCACUCACUGAGCUAAAUGCUAUGAUUCAUCCAGUUGCUCAGGAAUCAUACACGUAAGCAUAGUGGUUUACUUAGAAGUGUGUGUGUGUGUGUGUGUGUGUGUGUGUGUGUGUGUGUGUGUGUGUGUGUGUGUGUGUGUGUGUGUGUGUAUGUGUGUGUGUGUGUGUGUGUUUGCGGUCUGUGAGUGGGACUAAUAUCUGACUCAUGUUCCUCUUCUCAUUCAUGAUCGCACACAGGAGCGUGAGCACUGCUGCUGCUGUGAUGCCAAAGCCGUGAUGUGAGGAGACUGAGAGCAAACGGACAUCACACAGGCGACGGAGUACUUCUCUCUACCCUGUCCUGCCACCGCCGGACUGAGGCCCAGGCAGGUGGAGGGACGACAUCGCCGCUGUAGAAGCCAGGGCCCUGCUACUCAUGCCACUGGAGUGUGUCCGUGUGUGAAUAGAAUAGAGUAGAAGGCCAGAGCCAGAGGAGAACCAGUGCAGCCCCCGAGCCUCUCCUCCCUGAGAGAGAUGUGGUCCUGAUCCUCGCACCCACAUCACACGCUCACAUGGCACGUUAGAAUCCAUAAGUACAGAAGACUGGUGCAAGAAGCUGAGGCUGGUCUGGGCUUUUCAGGUGACACCGCCCCAAGCUGUAACUGAGGGGAAAGUGUUUAUCAAAUGAAUCAGUGUAUUUCGACUCCAGAGGAUAAGUGACUUAGUUGUAUUUUCCUGCAUAUGGCUGAGCUCUGUUCAUCUCCAAGCAGACUGUCAUAUGUGGCUUCCACUUUGUUCAUCCUUUUGUUAGGUUCUCUUUUCUCUGUGGAGAAGUUCUGUUAAAGUGAGUUUGAAUGGAUGAUCAACUCAACUGAGAUUCCUGGUGAGUACGACUUUCUUCCAUUUGUCAGACUGUUAAUGGAAGUAAAGGCAGCAGCAGCAUAACCUGCUCUUAUAAAGUCACGCGUUGACACUGCUGGUGAACCUAUGAAAUAUUUAAAAUCAUUCAUGUUUUGAUCCUUUCUGCUCUAUAAUCUAUAUUUUUCCAACCUCGCUGGAUACCGAUAACAGUAUUAUUUUAAAUUUUAUGACUGACCGAUGAAAAGACAGAACCCAGGGCGAUAAGAACAGCAACACUUGUUACUCAUUAGGUUUCAAUUACCAAGAAGCGUCACUGAGAAGUGUCUGACAGCCUAACGGAGGAAACAUCGGCCUGAACCGGUGCUAAAGGACAGGACUUUGGAAAGCGAGGGUGUUUUACUGCUUUCCACUGUGAAGCAAUGUGUCUGUGAUGUCAUGAUGCCAUGAGGCUGAUCCUGACCUCUGACCCCUGUAAACAAGGCGCAGGAGAGAUAGGAGCUUUCUCCAUAUCGACAGACAGCAGUCAUAUCACCACGGUAACCGUAUCCUGGGAUGCCGUGUCGCCCUCUAGUGUGCUGAAGUAGAAUUGCAGGAUGAGACAUAAACGGUGUGUCAUAAAGAAAAGUUGUGAAAGUGGAUGGUGUUAUUUGUUGUAGAGCUGAAUAUGAAGGUUGCUCAAAAUCUGCUUUUACAAUUAAUUCUAUUUUAAAUCCCUUAAAUAUGUUUGUGUAGUUUGGCUUCGUCACCAGUGAUCAGUGACAAACAUUUCAUUCCCUGUCUUGACUCGGCCCGAGGAGCGUGUUGAGAAUGCGUCAUUAGGUCCACUGUGAGCGUCUUUGCUGGUGUCUGAUGUCCACAGAGCCACAGAUGGGUUGAACGCAAGAUCGCACACGUCACCCGGUUGUUCAGUUGCCUGAAAGGACCUCUGGGACACUUUAAUUAGAUAAGUGAAACAAAACCCAGCUGGUAACUCUCCUCUUUGUGCUUAAUCGGUGGAUUUGUCGAGGCAAAGGUGAAGGUGUGUCACUCGUCACAUGCACGUCAGCGUUUGUUUUGUGUCCGCUCAUUACCUGCAGGACAGGUAAAAUCAGUCGCACAAAGGGGAGCGAACGCGCUUCUCUCCCGCAGGACUGAAAACGCAAGCGUGAGACCGGACGCCAGUACUGCUGCCUCUCAGAACUAUUUGUCCUGGUUUGUCCUAUCGAUGCUGCUUUUUGGGGGGGUUCACGUCCUCGCUGUUGCUAGCGGCAGAACAGCCGCAGCCAUGACAACCACAUUCAUAUUUGUGACAGAAGACCUGUAAAUUAGCUCUGUUGUUGUUAGUCGGGCCCUUGAAAAUCCGCUGUUCAUCCACUGGUCUUUCUCAGAAGACACAUUCUCUAAUAUAGAGAGGAUUUGCUUAUUAAGGCUGCUAGUGAUACAUAGUGGUGUUGAGCAGUAUAUGGGGAAGUCUGUGAAAAGAGGAAAGAAGUAAAGAAGAAUUCUUUAAAAGAAGGCAUCAGAUGUAAUAUUAUAGUUGUUCUGUUUUUAGUGCCGCCAGAUAUUUGAGGCUGAGUCACGUUUCAGCUGCCUUUCAUUUCAUUUCAUUAGGACUCAGGUCACAAAAUCUUCCAUCCUGGUCUGUUUGUUCAGUUGAAAAUGAGUGUUCUCAUGAUCCAUUCAUUGCACCACUGCAGCACGGCCAUCUUCCCCCAGAUGCUGGUUUCACAUGGUGGUUUAGAUGUGUGUCUCCGUUGUCUAGCACCAUUUGAAAUCAGUGUUCUUGGGGACAGAAACACAGGCUGUGACUGUGGGACCGGUCCUCCUCCUUCCAGUGGCUGAUCUCCUUUCUGAUAACUGAUUUCUUCUGGUGCUUAGAGCCACAUGCGGCCUUCUAGCACCAUUUGAAAUCGGUUAUAAAGCUGUGGAUCACUGCAUCGGUCAACUGUCAACAAUGGUUUUGAUUUAAGCCUGAGGAAAGGCCUCGUCUCUUUGGAAGAAUCCUGCACCUGAACCAGGUUGAGGUCGGGUAUCCUUAACCACAGAUCAGUUGAACGAUACCACAUGGUUCAUUGUCAUCAAGUAGGAUCACAAACCUCUGUUAAGAGAAACGUUACCUGUUCAAAGAUGAAGGUGCUCACUACUCUAAUAAAGCGCAUUUCACAACAAAGUCGUACAGUACAUUUUGUUCUGUCGCACAGUAUAACUUUGGAUGAAGAAGUGUCUCACACAGAAGUAUGGAAGUAGUUCAAGUUAUUGCCGCGAGCUGUAAGAUGUUUUAUAAACCACCAGAUGUCACUGUAACUAUGAAUUGGGCUGUAGAAAUGUUGAAAGUUCAUUAGGACUGAAUAAAUGGAAGCAAACCUGAA